rnacentral:lncRNA from 1 species
AUAGAAAUGUAUUUUAUUUACAGUGCAUACAUAACAGUGGAUGGUAUAAACCAGCGUCCGACAGGCUCUCAGUGUUGAUGUGGAGCUCAGAAGAUGCCUAAAAUUGCAAUUAAGCCUGCUUGACACCUGCUAUCUUAUGUGUACUGUAUUAAUCCUUCGACUGACACAUAAGAGUAAUGAUCAGGAGCAAUGCUCAAGAAGAAUGUGCAGAG